CGUGUAGGCGGCCAUGCAGGUCCGCUGUGAAAACUCGAGGCUCAACCUCGAGACGUCGGUGGAAACCGCAUGGCUAGAGUCCGGAAGAGGAGAGUGGAAUUCCCGGUGUAGCGGUGAAAUGCGCAGAUAUCGGGAAGAACACCCGUGGCGAAGGCGGCUCUCUGGGACGGUACUGACGCUGAGACGCGAAAGCGUGGGGAGCGAACA
rnacentral:rRNA from 1 species